rnacentral:miRNA from 1 species
ACAUUAUGCAGUGUCUGUGUGUGUGCAUGUGCAUGUGCAUGCACGCCUGCAUGUAACUAUU